rnacentral:rRNA from 1 species
AAGCUCGUAGUUGAAUUUCGGGAUCAAUAUAUUGGUCAUGCUUAGGUAUGUACUGGUAUUAUUGAUUUCUCCCUUCUGAAGAACCAUGAUGUCAUUUAUUUGAUGUCGUGGGGAAUCAGGACUGUUACUUUGAAAAAAUUAGAGUGUUUAAAGCAGGCUUUCGCUUGAAUACAUUAGCAUGGAAUAAUGAAAUAGGACGUUUGAUUCUAUUUUGUUGGUUUCUAGGAUCGACGUAAUGAUUAAUAGGGAUAGUUGGG